AGGACAUCGGGUUGGAUUUUACCCUCUUAGCUAUCUUGUCUCCCUCUCCCUAUUACUUGCUUACAGACCAGAUCUGACUAAAUUGCCCAGGCCGGCCUCAGACUUUUGACCCUCUGCGUCAGCUUCCCAAGUAGCUGCGGCUCCUCUAAGAAUUCUUCCUUCCGUGCCAGCAAACGCAACUGCACGCUUUCGUUAUUUUGUGUGAUAACAUUUUCCAGUUGGAUCUAAUUAAAUCCCACAGAUUGAAUCCCGCACUACAGUACGGUCUGGGGAUAGAAUGCGUCCCUCGCUGUUACUCGAGGCCGGUGAUGUGAGAGUAACUUGACUGGCAGGGAAGUCAAAGAUGUUAGGAGGGAGCGACCGCCCGAAGAGCAGAAAGAGAACGGAGACAAAGGGCCUUCUCAGAGCAGGGGCGUCGCCGAGAUCGUUAUUUCCAGGAGGCUGGCUUGGUUCCCUCACACCCUGACGCAUAUCCAGAUGGCUGGAGCUCCGAGUAGAUGCUAGUGGAGUAGGUUUGAAUGGACAACCUGUGGCAGGACAGAUGCCCAAUCCACUGGUGGCUGAGCUCUUUGUGCAAAGCUCUUUGCACCUCGCUCCUUCUGGUGAUACCCCCCUCUCUGAUAUCAAAAGUUCUAAUUCUUCCGAGUCAUUCAUGGAAUCAUCCCUUCGGAAUGGAUUGUGGAGGAGGUAUGCCAGUCACCUGGAGGAUUCUCUGUGGAGGGACAAUUUGGGAGAAAAGUCCAGGGCUCUGACUUCCCUGCUCCUGUUUGCAGAGAGCCCCCAUCAGCAAUCGUUUCUCAGUAUGGAUCUAAAGGCCAGAGAUGGACUCUGCUUCAGGAAGGUUCUCUCCUCCUUCUCCAGGUUACCCAAGAACACUCAGAAGUGCUGACUUCUUUUGUUUUGGGACAGUAUCCCUCACUGGCCUGGAACUCGCCAAGUAGGCUGGUGAGCAAGCCCAGCGAUCCUCCUGUCUCUGCCUCUCCAGCACCUGGAUUACAAAUGAAGGCUCCUACAUGUGAUGUAUGUCUCUCUCUCUCUCUCUUUCUCUCUCUCUCUCUCUCUCUCUCUCUCUCUCUCUCUCUCUCUCUCUCUCUCUCUCUCUCUGUCCUCUUUUGUUCUGCCAUUCUGUUCUUUGUUUUAUCCCAAAACAGGACCUCACUCUGCCUUGGCUGGCCAGGAACCUCUGCGUAGUCAAGCCUGCUCUCAAACUUGCAACAUUUUUUCACCUUGGACUCUGGGGUUAAGGGUGUGAGCCGUCCCAGCCCUACCUAACCGCACCGGUUGCUUUUGUGUCUUUUUCAUGAGGAGACACCUGGCAAGAGAGCUCACUUCGCUCAUUAGUCUCCCUGUGUUUUUACUUGGAAAUCCUGUGGGAAGUGUGCCUUCCUUUGUACACGAGAAUCUACUGCUUUCUCCUGCAACACCAGCAGGCCUGUUAGAAUGAAUGCAGCACACAUCAAUCUGGGAGAAGGGAAGUUGGGGAGGGAAGGAGUUUACCAGGCUCUCAAAACAAUUCCCCAUGCCUGAAUUCUUCAUUCCCGACCCCUGGAAGAAAUGUUAAGUAAACGUUGAGCAUCUGGUUUACA
rnacentral:sRNA from 1 species